GCCAAAGUAGUUCAGUUGAAAGAGCAUUAGACUGAAGCUCUAAAGGUCACUGGUUCAAUCCCAGGCUUUGGCA
rnacentral:tRNA from 1 species